rnacentral:rRNA from 1 species
CCUACGGGAGGCAGCAGUGAGGAAUAUUGGUCAAUGGACGAAAGUCUGAACCAGCCAUGCCGCGUGCAGGAUGACGGCUCUAUGAGUUGUAAACUGCUUUUAUAUAGGAAGAAACCCUUCUACGUGUAGAAGGUUGACGGUACUAUAAGAAUAAGCAUCGGCUAACUCCGUGCCAGCAGCCGCGGUAAUACGGAGGAUGCAAGCGUUAUCCGGAUUCAUUGGGUUUAAAGGGUGCGUAGGCGGGGCAAUUAGUCAGUGGUGAAAUCCUGCGGCUUAACCGUAGAACUGCCAUUGAUACUGUUGCUCUUGAGUAUAGUUGAAGUGGGCGGAAUAUGUAAUGUAGCGGUGAAAUGCAUAGAGAUUACAUAGAACACCAAUUGCGAAGGCAGCUCACUAAGCUAUCACUGACGCUGAGGCACGAAAGCGUGGGGAGCGAACAGGAUUAGAUACCCUGGUAGUCCACGCCGUAAACGAUGAUAACUCGUUGUUGGCAAUACAUCGUCAGCGACUGAGCGAAAGCAUUAAGUUAUCCACCUGGGGAGUACGAUCGCAAGAUUGAAACUCAAAGGAAUUGACGGGGGCCCGCACAAGCGGAGGAACAUGUGGUUUAAUUCGAUGAUACGCGAGGAACCUUACCUGGGCUUAAAUGCAAAACGACGUACCGGGAAACUGGUACUCCCUUCGGGGCGAAUUGCAAGGUGCUGCAUGGCUGUCGUCAGCUCGUGCCGUGAGGUGUCGGGUUAAGUCCCAUAACGAGCGCAACCCCUAUCGUUAGUUGCCAGCGGAUAAUGCCGGGGACUCUAACGAAACUGCCAGUGUAAACUGUGAGGAAGGUGGGGAUGACGUCAAGUCAGCACGGCCCUUAUGUCCAGGGCUACACACGUGUUACAAUGGUCGGUACAGAGGGCAGCUACCUGGUGACAGGAUGCAAAUCUCGAAAACCGGUCUCAGUUCGGAUCGAAGUCUGCAACUCGACUUCGUGAAGGUGGAUUCGCUAGUAAUCGCGCAUCAGCCAUGGCGCGGUGAAUACGUUCCCGGGCCUUGUACACACCGCCCGUCAAGCCAUGGAAGCUGGGGGUACCUGAAGUCUGUAACCGUAAGGAGCGGCCUAAGGUAAAACUAGUGACUGGGGCUAAGUCGUAACAAGGUAACC